rnacentral:rRNA from 1 species
AUUGAACGCUGGCGGCAGGCCUAACACAUGCAAGUCGAGCGGAUGAAGGGAGCUUGCUCCUGGAUUCAGCGGCGGACGGGUGAGUAAUGCCUAGGAAUCUGCCUGGUAGUGGGGGAUAACGUCCGGAAACGGGCGCUAAUACCGCAUACGUCCUGAGGGAGAAAGGGGGGGAUCUUCGGACCUCACGCUAUCAGAUGAGCCUAGGUCGGAUUAGCUAGUUGGUGGGGUAAAGGCCUACCAAGGCGACGAUCCGUAACUGGUCUGAGAGGAUGAUCAGUCACACUGGAACUGAGACACGGUCCAGACUCCUACGGGAGGCAGCAGUGGGGAAUAUUGGACAAUGGGCGAAAGCCUGAUCCAGCCAUGCCGCGUGUGUGAAGAAGGUCUUCGGAUUGUAAAGCACCUUAAGUGGGGAGGAAGGGCAGUAAGUUAAUACCUUGCUGUUUUGACGUUACCAACAGAAUAAGCACCGGCUAACUUCGUG